GAAAAGAAAUCAACCGAGAUUCCCCCAGUAGCGGCGAGCGAACGGGGAGCAGCCCAGAGCCUGAAUCAGUGUGUGUGUUAGUGGAAGCGUCUGGAAAGGCGCGCGAUACAGGGUGACAGCCCCGUACACAAAAAUGCACAUGCUGUGAGCUCGAUGAGUAGGGCGGGACACGUGGUAUCCUGUCUGAAUAUGGGGGGACCAUCCUCCAAGGCUAAAUACUCCUGACUGACCGAUAGUGAACCAGUACCGUGAGGGAAAGGCGAAAAGAACCCCGGCGAGGGGAGUGAAAAAGAACCUGAAACCGUGUACGUACAAGCAGUGGGAGCACAGAGCAAUCUGUGUGACUGCGUACCUUUUGUAUAAUGGGUCAGCGACUUAUAUUCUGUAGCAAGGUUAACCGAAUAGGGGAGCCGAAGGGAAACCGAGUCUUAACUGGGCGUUAAGUUGCAGGGUAUAGACCCGAAACCCGGUGAUCUAGCCAUGGGCAGGUUGAAGGUUGGGUAACACUAACUGGAGGACCGAACCGACUAAUGUUGAAAAAUUAGCGGAUGACUUGUGGCUGGGGGUGAAAGGCCAAUCAAACCGGGAGAUAGCUGGUUCUCCCCGAAAGCUAUUUAGGUAGCGCCUCGUGAAUUCAUCUCCGGGGGUAGAGCACUGUUUCGGCAAGGGGGUCAUCCCGACUUACCAACCCGAUGCAAACUGCGAAUACCGGAGAAUGUUAUCACGGGAGACACACGGCGGGUGCUAACGUCCGUCGUGAAGAGGGAAACAACCCAGACCGCCAGCUAAGGUCCCAAAGUCAUGGUUAAGUGGGAAACGAUGUGGGAAGGCCCAGACAGCCAGGAUGUUGGCUUAGAAGCAGCCAUCAUUUAAAGAAAGCGUAAUAGCUCACUGGUCGAGUCGGCCUGCGCGGAAGAUGUAACGGGGCUAAACCAUGCACCGAAGCUGCGGCAGCGACGCUGAUGCGUUGUUGGGUAGGGGAGCGUUCUGUAAGCCUGCGAAGGUGUGCUGUGAGGCAUGCUGGAGGUAUCAGAAGUGCGAAUGCUGACAUAAGUAACGAUAAAGCGGGUGAAAAGCCCGCUCGCCGGAAGACCAAGGGUUCCUGUCCAACGUUAAUCGGGGCAGGGUGAGUCGACCCCUAAGGCGAGGCCGAA
rnacentral:rRNA from 1 species